rnacentral:misc_RNA from 1 species
GUGAUAAUGUCCGCGAUAAACGUGAAAGCGCUCACUCGUCAAAAUAUCCAAAAAUUCUUGAAUUCGUUCGACACCGUGCUGACCGAUUGCGACGGAGUGCUAUGGAUACACAUGACACCCCUGCCGAACUCGGCAGACGUCAUCAAUCUGUUCCGCAAGCUUGGCAAACGAGUCUUCUAUGUGACAAACAACAGCAUGAAGACGCGUGAUGGUCUGGUGGAAAAGUGCAAAGCACUUAAGUUUCAGGCAAAUCAGGAAGAUAUUCUGUGCACCUCUUAUCUGUCGGCGUGCUAUCUGCAAAGUUUAGGGUUCCACAAGAAAGUCUAUGUUAUUGGUUCCGAAGCGAUCGCAAAGGAAUUGGAACUUGCUGGUAUCUCGUAUUGUGGUAUAGGACCGGAUAUACUUAAUCAAAAUAUCUCAUAUUCCGUUUUUAAAAAAGAUCCCGAAGUAGCCGCAGUUAUAGUCGGUUAUGAUGAACAUUUUAGUUAUCCCAAGAUGGUAAAAGCAGCUACAUAUCUGAGCGACGCUAAUGUACACUUUAUUGGUACCAAUACUGAUGAGAGAUAUCCAGUUUCGAAUGAUGUUGUAAUACCAGGUACGGGAAGUCUGGUUAGAUGUAUAGAAAGUUGUUCAGAAAGGAAAGCAGUGAUUAUGGGCAAACCGGACGAAUACAUGGCUAAGAUGUUGAUGGAACGAUCCAACAUCGACCCACAGCGCACUUUAAUGAUCGGAGACCGAUGUAACACCGAUAUACUUUUUGGAAUUCGUUGCGGCUUUAUGACUCUGUUAGUCCUGACAGGGGUGACCACGUUGUCGGAUAUUGAAAAAUGGAAGAAGUCUGAGCGACAAGAAGAACGGGACCUCGUACCACACUAUUAUAUAGAUGAACUAGAAGAGGUAGAUGAAUAAAGCACAAAUAAACGAAAUGAAUGGAAAAUAUACAGAUAUUCCGAAAAUAGAUGAAGGCGUAAAACAAGAAAAUGAAUAAGGAGUAUUGUGAGAAAAAGAGAGAAUGAGAGAAAGAGAAGAAAGGGGAAAAGGAUGAAUCGGUGAAGGAUGAUAGGAUAUGUGCAAACAGAUUAUGUGAUAAUACAAUAUAUAUUAUUCAAAUAUAUAUGGUAAACUUAAUGAUAGAGAGAGAUACGGAUUCGUAAUCCUUAUCUAGAUCUUGUAAACUCAUAACAAUGAAAUAUAUUUAACGCGUUAUAUCAUA